AUUGAACGCUGGCGGCAUGCCUUACACAUGCAAGUCGAACGGUAACAGGUCUUCGGAUGCUGACGAGUGGCGAACGGGUGAGUAAUACAUCGGAACGUGCCCGAUCGUGGGGGAUAACGAAGCGAAAGCUUUGCUAAUACCGCAUAAGAUCUACGGAUGAAAGCAGGGGACCGCAAGGCCUUGCGCGAACGGAGCGGCCGAUGGCAGAUUAGGUAGUUGGUGGGAUAAAAGCUUACCAAGCCGACGAUCUGUAGCUGGUCUGAGAGGAGGACCAGCCACACUGGGACUGGGACACGGCCCAGACUCCUACGGUAGGCGGCAGUGGGGAAUUUUGGACAAUGGGCGAAAGCCUGAUCCAGCCAUGCCGCGUGCAGGAUGAAGGCCUUCGGGUUGUAAACUGCUUUUGUACGGAACGAAAAGACUCUUUCUAAUAAAGAGGGUCCAUGACGGUACCGUAAGAAUAAGCACCGGCUAACUACGUGCCAGCCGCCGCGGUAACAC
rnacentral:rRNA from 1 species